rnacentral:lncRNA from 1 species
UUUAUUCAAGGUAUAAUAUUCCAAGGGGACAAAACACUAUUCAAGUUUGAAUUUAUACAAAGAUAAGAUUCUCCAACAAACUCUAUCCAAGAAAAGUACUAUUCAAGAUAAGAUCAAAGACAAAACUUGGAUUUAUGUGAGAAAUCAAGGAGUCAUCCAUUGAAGAUCCAAGGGUGGACAUUGAGUGGCCAAGGCUAUAAAUAGAAGGGUAAACCCCUCAUUUUCACUCACCACACUACAAGCAAACUCAAGAGCUUUCACUCCACACUUGCCCACACGUUUUUGCCUCCAAGCUUCCAAGCUUUCAAGUGCUCAAGUGUCCUAGCUUCCCAAAGCUUCAAAAGCUCUCCAACUUCUUCUUCUAAUCUUAUUGUUCAUCUUUACAAGUAAGAAGUGUUGUUUGUUUUAAUAUUCCACUCCUCUAAUCACCUCUUGUGUGUGUCCACUUUGGUUGAGAGGGUUGUCUCAAUAGUACCAAAGUGUGAGAGAAGGUUUUUGAGCUCAACCAUAAAGCUCUAGUUCGGUUUUAUAGAGUUUCCAGGAAAACUCUUAGGUCGAGUCUACCUUUAAAGAUUUCAGAGGUUUUUAAGAGUUCCUUGAUACUCUAAUGUACUAACUUACCCGUAAAAGUUAAAGGUUCUUAAGAGUGCCCUUGAUACUCUAAGGUGUGAGUCUACCCGUAAAAGACUGGUUCCUAAGCGAAGUAGCCUUAAAGCUUAGAGAGGUUUUUAAGAGUUCCUUGAUACUCUAAGGUACUAACUUACCCGCAAAAGUUAGAGGUUCUUAAGAGUGCCCUUGAUACUCUAAGGUGUGAGUCUACCCGUAAAAGACUGGUUCCUAAGCGAAGUAGCCUUAAAGCUUAGAGAGGUUCUCAAGAGUUUCCUUGAUACUCUAAGGUUUUGCCAUAACCUUUAGGCGAGUGAAUUCCGGCAGUUGGUCGGGACUGGACUAGCCCUUGUUUGGGUGAACCAGUAUAAAUCUCUUGUGUUGUUCUCUGUUAAUUAUAGUUUUAUCUUUUAUC